rnacentral:tRNA from 1 species
GGGGGUAUAGCUCAGUUGGUAGAGCAGCUGACUCUUAAUCAGUAGGUCGUAGGUUCGAUCCAUACUGCCCCUACCA